AAAAAAGCUUGAAUAUCGAUAUUUUUACACGAGUAUUGCUCAAUACCAAUACCAGCGUUGGUAUCGAUAUUAUCGAUAUUUGGAUCGAUCCGCCCACCUCUACCUUGUACUCUCCCAGAGUGAGUGUGUUUAGAGCAGGUGCAGAGUCGCCAUUUUCGGGUGCUGAUUUUCAGUUAAAAACGCUGUUAAAUCUUCUAAAAGAGACCUAAAAUACUUUGUUUCUGUUCUGUUGGUGUAUAUGAGCCACAAGUUGGAUAAACCCUCGUCUGUCUGUUCUAUUUUGUGGAGAAACUUCGGUUGUUUUAAUUGAUGGGAAAAACGCGCGAACUUUUUGAGUCCAAGAUGGCGAGCCAACCCAAGACUACAUGUCCUAGAAUACUGUGCGAGUGACGUCUGCAGCGUGAGCACGCAAACUGCACCGCUGAGAGAGAGAGAGAGUCAGACCACAGAUAAGAGGAGCCAAGCACUUGAUACACACGCACACAAUCACUAGUCUACCAGGGUAGUGAAGAUCUAAAUACACAUUUCACACACUUUGGGACAAAAUUACACACACAAAGGGAAAAGAAGAGGAAGCCUGACAGAACAUCGUUUAAACUCAAAGACUGUGACUAAAAGAACACCUUGAUAUUUAUUAUUUUUCCUUUGUAUUACUGAAACUGGCCAUUUUGUGUUUUUUUCCUUAAUUGUUUAUUUUCUAUUUUUAACUGAUCAGAGCCCCAUUGAACUAUUUUUCUUAUUUUCAUACCCCCCUUCUGCUACUCUAAAACAUUUUAUUUGUUUAUUUUACCAAAUACACUUACACAGUAACAACAAAUCAUUUGUUAAUAAAUCUAAAUUGUUAAUUUUUACCCUGUA